rnacentral:rRNA from 1 species
GAUGAACGCUGACAGAAUGCUUAACACAUGCAAGUCAACUGUGGCGGACGGGUGAGUAACGCGUAAAGAACUUGCCUCACAGUUCGGGACAACAUUUGGAAACGAAUGCUAAUACCUGAUACGGUGAGAGAGCUUUGCGUCCCAUUAGCUAGUUGGAGAGGUAACGGCUCACAAAGGCGAUGAUGUGUAGCCGGCAGGAGAUGGUGAUCGGCCACCAGGGGACUGAGACACGGCCCUUACUCUUACGGGAGGAAGCAGUGGGGAAGAUUGGACAAUGGACCAAAGUCUGAUCCAGCAAUUAUGUGUGCACGAUGAAGUUUUCGGAAUGUAAAGUGCUUUCAGUUGGGAAUCGGUACCAACAGAAGAAGUGACGGCUAAAUACGGGCCAGCAGCCGCGGUAAUAC